UACGGGGGGGCGAGCGUUGUUCGGAAUUACUGGGCGUAAAGGGCUCGUAGGUGGCCAACUAAGUCGGACGUGAAAUCCCUCAGCUUAACUGGGGAACUGCGUCCGAUACUGGAUGGCUCGAGUUUGGGAGAGGGAUGCGGAAUUCCAGGUGUAGCGGUGAAAUGCGUAGAUAUCUGGAGGAACACCGGUGGCGAAGGCGGCAUCCUGGACCAACACUGACACUGAGGAGCGAAAGCCAGGGGAGCAAACGGG
rnacentral:rRNA from 1 species